ensembl:lncRNA
AUGGGCGGAUGCAGCUCCCUAUAUACAACUCGGUCACCAUGGGGAUGGGCUGGGGCCUUUUCCUGUUGGUCCAGACCCCUCGGUCUGCCCGGAGAAGCCACGACAGAGAGUGGUGAUUGGUGCAAGCAACAUGGGAUGAGAAAUCUUCAGGUCCCUGCGCUUUUUAACGCAGGCACAUCCCGCAAAAGUAGAGAACCUGGCUCCGUUUCAAAGAGAGGAAAGCCAGCUGCUGUCAUCGGAAUCCCCCAGACAAGCUGCGAUAUCGCCACUUCUGUCUAUGAAGUACCAUCUCCAGUGUCCUCAGACGUGACAGGAAAGGCGGGCCUAAUCUCAGGAUUAAAGCACAGCCAUUUAUCGUUCCUUUAGUCUGUACUCUUCUUGUCGUGUGGGUGUUUUUUUUUUUUUAAAGCGCCGCUCUCCUGAGCACCUACUGCGUGUCUAAUACUCUGCUGGGUACUGUGUGAAACAUAAAGAAAGGGCGAGGGCAUGACAGGGCUCUUGCCUACAAAUGCUCCUGGCUAUUAAAUUGAAGGGCCUUCCGCACCAGGUUAACGCAGGAAAGGACCUGUCAGAUGAAAGGCAUUCUGUAAGGUGCUGUCUGGGUAACAGAUGAUAAUAUAAACACAGGGUAGUACUAUGAAUAUACAUGCCCAGUGACCACUUUAUCAAAAUGUUCCGUUAAUUACAAAGGUAGAUAUACUCCCUUAACACCUGCUUAUUCGCUCCUUAUCUAGCUUCAGAAUUAUUUCAGAAGCUCAUCUAUAGCACCUGAGCCAUUAAAUUAGCUGCUAAUGCGGGGCAGGGUUCCUG